GAUGAACGCUAGCGGCAGGCCUAAUACAUGCAAGUCGAACGGGAUCAGGGAGCUUGCUCCCUGUGAGAGUGGCGCACGGGUGCGUAACACGUAUGCAACCUACCUUCAACUGGGGGAUAGCCUUCCGAAAGGAAGAUUAAUACCGCAUAACAUAAUUGAAUGGCAUCAUUUGAUUAUCAAACGUCAGGGUUGAAGAUGGGCAUGCGUCCGAUUAGCUAGUUGGUGUGGUAACGGCACACCAAGGCGACGAUCGGUAGGGGAUCUGAGAGGAUGACCCCCCACACUGGUACUGAGACACGGACCAGACUCCUACGGGAGGCAGCAGUAAGGAAUAUUGGUCGAUGGACGCAAGUCUGAACCAGCCAUGCCGCGUGCAGGAAGACGGUCCUCUGGAUUGUAAACUGCUUUUGUUAGAGAAGAAACCCUCGGAUGCGUCCGGGGCUGACGGUACCUAAAGAAUAAGGAUCGGCUAACUCCGUGCCAGCCGCCGCCGUAAGAC
rnacentral:rRNA from 1 species